AACAGGAUUAGAUACCCUGGUAGUCCACGCCCUAAACGAUGUCUACUAGUUGUCGGGUUUUAAUUAACUUGGUAACGCAGCUAACGCGUGAAGUAGACCGCCUGGGGAGUACGGUCGCAAGAUUAAAACUCAAAGGAAUUGACGGGGACCCGCACAAGCGGUGGAUGAUGUGGAUUAAUUCGAUGCAACGCGAAAAACCUUACCUACCCUUGACAUGGCAGGAAUCCCGGAGAGAUUUGGGAGUGCUUGAAAGAGAACCUGCACACAGGUGCUGCAUGGCUGUCGUCAGCUCGUGUCGUGAGAUGUUGGGUUAAGUCCCGCAACGAGCGCAACCCUUGUCAUUAGUUGCUACGAAAGAGCACUCUAAUGAGACUGCCGGUGACAAACCGGAGGAAGGUGGGGAUGACGUCAAGUCCUCAUGGCCCUUAUGGGUAGGGCUUCACACGUCAUACAAUGGUACAUACAGAGGGCCGCCAACCCGCGAGGGGGAGCUAAUCCCAGAAAGUGUAUCGUAGUCCGGAUUGUAGUCUGCAACUCGACUACAUGAAGUUGGAAUCGCUAGUAAUCGCGGAUCAGCAUGUCGCGGUGAAUACGUUCCCGGGUCUUGUACACACCGCCCGCCACACCAUGGGAGCGGGUUUUACCAGAAGUAGGUAGCUUAACCGCAAGGGGGGCGCUUACCACGGUAGGAUUCGUGACUGGGGUGAAGUCGUAACAAGGUAACC
rnacentral:rRNA from 1 species